rnacentral:rRNA from 1 species
UAGGGAAUCUUCGGCAAUGGACGAAAGUCUGACCGAGCAACGCCGCGUGAGUGAAGAAGGUUUUCGGAUCGUAAAACUCUGUUGUUAGAGAAGAACAAGGACGUUAGUAACUGAACGUCCCCUGACGGUAUCUAACCAGAAAGCCAGGGCUAACUACGUGCCAGCAGCCGCGGUAAUACGUAGGUGGCAAGCGUUGUCCGGAUUUAUUGGGCGUAAAGCGAGCGCAGGCGGUUUCUUAAGUCUGAUGUGAAAGCCCCCGGCUCAACCGGGGAGGGUCAUUGGAAACUGGGAGACUUGAGUGCAGAAGAGGGGAGUGGAAUUCCAUGUGUAGCGGUGAAAUGCGUAGAUAUAUGGAGGAACACCAGUGGCGAAGGCGGCUCUCUGGUCUGUAACUGACGCUGAGGCUCGAAAGCGUGGGGAGCAAACAGG